rnacentral:rRNA from 1 species
UAGGGAAUCUUCCGCAAUGGGCGAAAGCCUGACGGAGCAACGCCGCGUGAGUGAUGAAGGUCUUCGGAUCGUAAAACUCUGUUAUUAGGGAAGAACAAAUGUGUAAGUAACUAUGCACGUCUUGACGGUACCUAAUCAGAAGGCCACGGCUAACUACGUGCCAGCAGCCGCGGUAAUACGUAGGUGGCAAGCGUUAUCCGGAAUUAUUGGGCGUAAAGCGCGCGUAGGCGGUUUUUUAAGUCUGAUGUGAAAGCCCACGGCUCAACCGUGGAGGGUCAUUGGAACCUGGAAAACUGGAGUGCAGAAGAGGAAAGUGGAAUUCCAUGUGUAGCGGUGAAAUGCGCAGAGAUAUGGAGGAACACCAGUGGCGAAGGCGACUUUCUGGUCUGUAACUGACGCUGAUGUGCGAAGGCGUGGGGAUCAAACAGG